rnacentral:tRNA from 1 species
GCGCCCCGGGGACGGGGCUCCGGUGCCUCUGGUGCUCUGGUGCUCUGGGGCGCGGGCCGGCCACCGGGGUUCUGAUCCCCCGGAGGCGCG